CGUGUAGGCGGUUGGUCAAGUCUGGUGUGAAAGCCCGGGGCUUAGCCCCGGAAGUGCGCUGGAAACUAGCCAACUUGAGCGCGAUAGAGGAGGGUGGAAUUCCUGGUGUAGCGGUGAAAUGCGUAGAUAUCAGGAGGAACACCGGCGGCGAAGGCGGCCCUCUGGGUCGUUGCUGACGCUGAGACGCGAAAGCGUGGGGAGCAAACAGGAUUAGAUACCCUGGUAGUCCACGCUGUAAACUAUAGGGUACUAGGUGUUCGGGGUGUUGACCCCCUGAGUGCCGACGCUAACGCAUUAAGUACCCCGCCUGGGGACUACGGCCGCAAGGCUAAA
rnacentral:rRNA from 1 species